rnacentral:misc_RNA from 1 species
GUGAAUCAUCAAAUCUUUGAACGCAUAUUGCGCUCUCUGGUAUUCCGGGGAGUAUGCUUGCUUGAGGGUUAGUUUGUUACAAUCGUAAAAAGAAAUUUUUACGGAUCUGGAUUUUCCAAAAGUUAUAUUUUUGGUAAUCUAAAAUUUAUCAUAUAAAUAGGUGAUAUUGGACAUGUUUAUUUUUGAUUCAUUAAUAAUUAUUACCUAAUUUGUUUCGUAGUGUUAUUUUCCUAAUUUCUUAAUUAGGUAUAUUAAUAUAAUUUUUUUUUUUAA